UCUGAUAUAUGUAGAGGGUGUAAAUAAUGAGAACUUUGUCUGACACUUUGUUUUUUCUGGCAUAUAUUGGUCUGAGUAAAAGUUGAAGUUUUUCAGGUUCGCAGAGAUGAUCUAUGGCUGAAAUAUUCUGAAUCAUUUACUCUAUCUCUGUACACUUGGGAUGUUAGUCAAGCUAAUGGCAUGGGGCAAUGAUGUUUUGUAGCUUGGAGUGGACUUGGUGUAGAUGGUCAAAGAAAAAGGAGGUGGCUGGCCCGACCGGUUUGUUAUGGGAUUAUUAAACACAAGAGUUACUUUUUUUAGCUGUUAUAUGUAGCAUGUAAACAUGAUAUUGCAGAGUUAAUAUUUAUUUUUAAUUUUGGAGGAAA